rnacentral:rRNA from 1 species
AGAGUUUGAUCAUGGCUCAGAAUCAACGCUGGCGGCGUGCCUCAGACAUGCAAGUCGAACGAUUAAAGCUCCCUUCGGGGAGUGCAUAAAGUGGCGCACGGGUGAGUAACACGUAAGUAAUCUGCCUUCGAGUGGGGAAUAACCCGGGGAAACCCGAGCUAAUACCGCAUAAUGCAGCGGCACCUAAUGGUGACAGUUGUUAAAGGAGCAAUCCGCUUGAAGAGGAGCUUGCGGCAGAUUAGCUAGUUGGUAAGGUAAUGGCUUACCAAGGCUACGAUCUGUAUCCGGUCUAAGAGGACGGUCGGACACACUGACACUGAAUAACGGGUCAGACUCCUACGGGAGGCAGCAGUCGGGAAUUUUGGGCAAUGGGGGAAACCCUGACCCAGCAACGCCGCGUGAAGGAUGAAGUAUUUCGGUAUGUAAACUUCGAAAGAAUAGGAAGAAUUAAUGACGGUACUAUUUAUAAGGUCCGGCUAACUACGUGCCAGCAGCCGCGGUAAUACGUAGGGACCAAGCGUUGUUCGGAUUUACUGGGCGUAAAGGGCGCGUAGGCGGCGCGGUAAGUCACCUGUGAAAUCUCUGAGCUUAACUCAGAACGGCCAAGUGAUACUGCAGUGCUAGAGUGUGGAAGGGGCAAUCGGAAUUCUUGGUGUAGCGGUGAAAUGCGUAGAUAUCAAGAGGAACACCUGAGGUGAAGACGGGUUGCUGGGCCAACACUGACGCUGAUGCGCGAAAGCCAGGGGAGCAAACGGGAUUAGAUACCCCGGUAGUCCUGGCCCUAAACGAUGAAUACUUGGUGUCUGGAGUUUUAAUGCUCCGGGUGCCGUCGCUAACGUUUUUAGUAUUCCGCCUGGGGAGUACGCUCGCAAGAGUGAAACUCAAAGGAAUUGACGGGACCCGCACAGCGGUGGAGCAUGUGGUUUAAUUCGACGCAACGCGAAGAACCUUACCUGGACUAGAAUGUGGAGGGAAUG